UACUACUCCUACGGGAGGCAGCGGUGGGGAAUUUUCAGCAAUGGGCGAAAGCCUGACGGAGCAAUGCCGCGUGAAGGUAGAAGGCCUACGGGUCAUGAACUUCUGUCCCGGGGAGGAAACAUGUCCGGCUCCAGCGUUUCACCGCCC
rnacentral:rRNA from 1 species